GAUGCCUUCUCUCAUGAGUCUUUCUAAAUCAACACUCUAUUUCCUUGAGAUCAUCCACCUACCCACUGGUCCUGCAUUAUUUUAUUCAGACUAUGAUCUGUUAUUCUGUAUUAGGAUAUAAGCUCUAUCAGGGCAGGGACUUUAUCUGCUUUGUUUCUGCUUAUUCUCAUUUCUGAAACUAGUGCCUAGCAUGUAGUAGGGACAAUAAUUAUUUAAUGGAUCAAUGAAUUGGUUAUAAUGAAGAGGGCAUUUCCUAGAGAAACAUAGAAGUCUGAGCCCAGAAAGGUAUGAGAGAAGCAUCCUUCUUCACUUCAGAUGAGUUUCCUUAGACUCUUAAGGCAAAUUCAACAUUAAAAAGAACAACAAAGCAUAUGGCUUCACAUAACCUCCAAGAAAGAACAGUGGAACUCUGGCAUGGCAAAUGGUACUUCUGUCCUUCUAAAUAAGAUUUAUG